rnacentral:lncRNA from 1 species
ACAAAAUAAUCUCUCAAUUGAUAAUAAUGAAUAUUGUGUUUACAAGGAAAUAAUGAGUCAUUUAUACAGGAAACUUGAUAAAACCCUAGUCUACACAAAAAAUAAUUUCUAAAGAUUACAAAAAUUACCAAAAAUUAGAGUUUUAACUAAAAUAAAAGAUCUUAUGAAAUUUGGAAAAUUUUGCUUCAAUUUUAUACUAUGCAGUUGCAUAGUACUAUGGCUUAUGGUCGCAUAGAGCAAACAUUCAACCUCCAAUUUGGUUUGGUAAUGAGGUAUGUGACCACAUCCCUUCCUAAGCUCUGUGAUCACAUAGCUUUAAUGAUUUCUCUUUUUUCAUGUGCAGAAUUUCACAACGUUUCUAGAUUGUACUCAUGAGCAAAAAUCCAACACCCUAGCCGAAAGUUAUGUACGUUUUCAUUGACGUUGCUCAUUUUUUUCAUAUAUCUUUCAAAACUUGAAUCCAACACACCAAACUUGAUCUCCCCUUCAUAUCCAACUUAUAAGUUGUUAUUUGACUUGUUGCACUCGAGCUCUUAGCCUCUGCAUCUUAGACAAUUCAUUCCAUGGCUAACUUGAUCCUCCGUAGCUCUUGAUCUUGUCUUUGAUUCAUCUUCAAGUUGUGCUAGAUCUUUGUAAGUGUGUUGUCUUCCUUGGAUCACAUCAACCUGCGCAUAAGCUGAUAGCACAUGGUGCAAUUUUCCCCAUUAUUACUCUUUAUGCUCAAACUUUUUCUUCCACCAGCCAUUUCUUGAAAAGUUGUAAAAUUAAAUAUUUAAAAAACUUCCCAAAUUCCAGUGGUCAACGCGACCAACUACCUCCACAACUUCUAAAAACUACAUCUACUUUGUAUGGUUUGAUGAGAACGUUUAGAUAGUUUUAAAUUUGUGUAAAAAGGAAGAGAGAAGGGGUGUCUAAAUUAAUUGACUAAAAUCAACUUUGUUCUUUGUAUUUUAGGGGAAACACUACACAAGCCGUUGUGGAGUUUUGGGCUUCCACCUGGACUAAUUAAGGUAGGGGUGGGGUGAGAACCCGGACCCUAUUUUAUUCAUUAAAAAUAGAUAUAUCCGGGUGAAUGAUGUGAAAACGUUAUCUCUAGAAGUACAUCAAGAGGGUGAAAAAAAAAUGAAAUCAUAAAGGAAGUACACUUCCUUACAUAAAUAAGAUUGGCAAUGAAGUUUUACUAUUAGUUUAGCCUUUAAAUUCUCUUUGAACCUCCUUGUGAUAAAGCACAAAAUUAGCAAAGUAUUAUUGGAGAAUUUCAUUCACCAUUUAUUGUAAAUUUUGAAAGGAAACUGAGAAGAGGCAUUUAGGGAUAUUAGGUUCCCAUUGGCAGGAAACAUAUUACCUUAAGCCAUAGCAUUUACAGGUGUUGAAAUAAUCGUCAGUUCAGACACUGUUGCUGAGGCUGUUGCUUUUGUGAUAGGAGUCUGGGAAUCUUCCAUUUCUGUGAUAAAAGAGAGAACACAACUAGGGUAAGCAAGAUGAUCAAACUCUAUUCACGAUAGAGAGAGCUCUGACACCAUGAAGAAAUUCAAUGAAUAUUCUGGUGUGUAUUGACAAAAAUUAUUACAAGUAUAUAUAUACAGGCAGGGAGAUCAAUCCCACUAAUCCAGCAAAGUCAAUCCUACUAAUCUAGCAUAUACAAUGGGGAAUAAAAUCAACUAAAUAAAGAGAAUAAAAUCAACUAAAAAUCAGCUAAAUUUACAAUAAAUGGUGAAUGAAAUUCUCAAGUAAUACUUUGCUAAUUUUGUGCUUUAUCACCUUGAACAUAGGAUGGUUCGAGCAUUAUAGACAACUUAGGGUUUUAUCCUAUGCCAAGUCCUCUGGGGUAAAUACGAUGUCACUUAACAACUUAUAAAGAAACAGGGUGAGAUCAAUUGAUGUACCAUUUUUUUUUUUUUAAAUAUUGGAUCAAUUAGAAUAAUAAGGCUUAAAUAUAAACGUUUUUAACUACAAGAAAAUGUUUGAUGGUAUAAUUACUACAAGCCGAUACGAGUGAACAACCAAUGAAGAUUAUCAUCAAAUUUUAUAGAACAAAAAAAUAUCACCCCAAAUUCGUAUUUAAUCCUGAAACACAAAGGAAAGAAGACCCAUAUAAAAACGAAUCAAUGCCAUGACAAAAUUAACUUUCUUCAUGUUCACUACAUACAAAGUUCAAUCCAAGAGCCCGAAAA